CCUGGACCCGAAGCGGGAUGAUCUAGCCCUGGGCAGGUUGAAGCGCGGGUAAGACCGCGUGGAGGACCGAACCCACCUGGGUUGAAAACCGGGGGGAUGACCUGGGGCUAGGGGUGAAAGGCCAAUCAAAUUCCGUGAUAGCUGGUUCUCUCCGAAAUGCAUUUAGGUGCAGCGUCGGUUGAUUGCAUCGCGGGGGUAGAGCUACUGGAUGCUUGCGGGCCCGUGUGGGGUACCAACAGCAGCCAAACUCCGAAUACCGUUGAUGUGUAUUCCGGCAGUGAGUCGGCGGGGGAUAAGCUCCGUCGUCGAGAGGGAGACAGCCCAGAUCGUCGUCUAAGGUCCCGAAGCGUGUGCUAAGUGGGAAAGGAUGUGGAGUCGCAUAGACAGCCAGGAGGUUGGCUCAGAAGCAGCCAUCCUUGAAAGAGUGCGUAACAGCUCACUGGUCUAGUGGUUCCGCGCCGACAAUGUAGCGGGGCUCAAGCACACCACCGAAGACGCGGCAACAGUUUUUUGCUGUUGGGUAGGAGAGCGUCCCCCGAGGGGCGAAGCGGCCGCGCAAGCGCGCCGUGGACUUCGGGGGAGUGAGAAUGCAGACAUGAGUAGCGAGAGACGGGUGAGGAUCCCGUCCGCUGGAUGACCAAGGGUUCCGGGGCCACGUUCGUCGUCCCCGGGUGAGUCGGGUCCUAAGGCGAGGCCGACAGGCGUAGUCGAAUGGAUGAACGGGUGGAUAUUCCCGUACCGGCAGCGAACCGUCCGAACUGAACGGAUGAGUACUAACCUCCGGUCGCGUGGCGUCGUUCCCUUCGGGGUUCGGGGCGCGCGAUUGUUGGGAAUGUAGUCCUGGUAGGUUAGCGCACAGGGGUGACACGGAAUGGGAGCCGGCCGCGGAGGUGGUUUUCCGUGGUCAAGCACGCAGCCCGUCCCAUAGGCAAAUCCGUGGGACAUUGAGGGUGAGGUGCGAUGAUGGGCGCCUUUCAGGCGCGAUAUCCGGUGGUCCAGGCCGUCGAGAAAAGCCUCGGCGCGAGGGGCGUUGCCGCCCGUACCCCAAACCGACACUGGUGGUCAGGUAGAGAAUACCAAGGCGAUCGAGCGAAUCCUGGUCAAGGAACUCGGCAAAUCACUCCCGUGCCUUCGGUAUAAGGGAGACCCCUGAUGGUGAUGGAACUUGCUUCCGGAGCUUUCGGGGGUGGCACAGACCAGGGGGUAGCGACUGUUUACCAAAAACACAGGUGCAUGCGAAGGCGCAAGCCGCUGUAUAUGCACUGACGCCUGCCCGGUGCCGGAAGGUUAAGAGGAUCCGUCAGCCCUCGGGUGAAGCGGUGAAUUCAAGCCCCGGUAAACGGCGGUGGUAACUAUAACCAUCCUAAGGUAGCGAAAUUCCUUGUCGGGUAAGUUCCGACCUGCACGAAUGGCGUAACGACUUCCCCACUGUCUCGACCAGGAGCUCGGCGAAAUUGCAGUACGAGUAAAGAUGCUCGUUAAGCGCAGAAGGACGAAAAGACCCCGGGACCUUUACUAUACCUUGGUAUUGGCGUUAGGCGCGGAUUGUGUAGCAUAGGCGGGAGGCUUCGAAGCAUGGGCGCCAGCCCGUGUGGAGCCGCAAGGUGAAAUACCGCUCUGUUCUCGUUUGACGUCUCACCUCGAACAGUCAUCCUGUUCAGGGACAGUGCCUGGCGGGUAGUUUAACUGGGGCGGUUGCCUCCCAAAGAGUAACGGAGGCGCUCAAAGGUCCGCUCAGCCCGGUUGGCAAUCGGGUUUCGAGUGUAAUCGCACAAGCGGGCUUGACUGCGAGAACGACGGUUCGGGCAGGGACGAAAGUCGGAGAUAGUGAUCCGGUGCCGGCGCACGGGCGCGGCAUCGCUCAACGGAUAAAAGGUACCCCGGGGAUAACAGGCUGAUCAUUCCCAAGAGUCCAUAUCGACGGGAUGGUUUGGCACCUCGAUGUCGGCUCGUCGCAUCCUGGGGCUGGAGCAGGUCCCAAGGGUUCGGCUGUUCGCCGAUUAAAGCGGCACGCGAGCUGGGUUCAGAACGUCGUGAGACAGUUUGGUCUCUAUCCUCUGCGCUCGUUGGAAUCCUGAGGAGGCCUGCCCAUAGUACGAGAGGACCUGGGUGGACGGACCUCUGGUAUGCCGGUUGUCGCGCCAGCGGCAUGGCCGGUUGGCUACGUUCGGGAGGGAUAACCGCUGAAAGCAUCUAAGCGGGAAGCCUGCUCCAAGAUUAGGAUUCCUUGACGCUCC
rnacentral:rRNA from 1 species